rnacentral:rRNA from 1 species
AUUGAACGCUGGCGGCAUGCUUUACACAUGCAAGUCGAACGGCAGCGCGGGCUUCGGCCUGGCGGCGAGUGGCGAACGGGUGAGUAAUAUAUCGGAACGUACCCAGGGGUGGGGGAUAACGUAGCGAAAGUUACGCUAAUACCGCAUACGCUCUAUGGAGGAAAGCAGGGGAUCGCAAGGCCUUGCGCGCUUGGAGCGGCCGAUAUCUGAUUAGCUAGUUGGUGGGGUAAAGGCUCACCAAGGCAACGAUCAGUAGCUGGUCUGAGAGGACGACCAGCCACACUGGGACUGAGACACGGCCCAGACUCCUACGGGAGGCAGCAGUGGGGAAUUUUGGACAAUGGGGGCAACCCUGAUCCAGCAAUGCCGCGUGAGUGAAGAAGGCCUUCGGGUUGUAAAGCUCUUUUGUCAGGGAAGAAACGGUUUUGGCUAAUAUCCAGAACUAAUGACGGUACCUGAGGAAUAAGCACCGGCUAACUACGUGCCAGCCGCCGCGGUAAUAC